rnacentral:rRNA from 1 species
UAGUCAUUGUGACUGUCCGAGUUGUAAUCUAGAGAAGUGUUUUCCGUGUUGGACCGUGUACAAGUCUCUUGGAACAGAGCAUCAUAGAGGGUGAGAAUCCCGUCUUUGACACGGACUGCCAGUGCUUUGUGUGAUGCGCUCUCAAAGAGUCGAGUUGUUUGGGAAUGCAGCUCAAAAUGGGUGGUAAAUUCCAUCUAAAGCUAAAUAUUGGCGAGAGACCGAUAGCGAACAAGUACCGUGAGGGAAAGAUGAAAAGAACUUUGGAAAGAGAGUUAAACAGUACGUGAAAUUGUUGAAAGGGAAACGCUUGAAGUCAGUCGCGUUGGCUAGAAAUCAACUCUUUAUUUUUUUGAAGGGUGUAUUUUCUGGCUUUUACGGGUCAACAUCAAUUUUGACUGUUGGAUAAAAUUUGAUAUUUAUGCAUUUUUGGAUGUAUAGCCUUUGAUUGCAUACAACAGUUGGGAUUGAGGAACUCAGCAUGCCGCAAAGGUCAGGUCAUUUUUUUGAUCAUGUAACAUGCUUAGGAUGUUGGCAUUAAUGGCUUUAAUCGACCCGUCUUGAAACACGGACCAAGGAGUCUAACAUGCCUGCAAGUGUUUGGGUGGUAAACCCGAGUGCGCAAUGAAAGUGAAUGUUGAGAUCUCUGUCAUGGGGAGCAUUGACAUCCAGACCGGAUCUUUUGUGAUGGUUCUGCGGUAGAGCAUGUAUGU